rnacentral:tRNA from 1 species
AUUUAUAUAGUAUAAAAAUUAUUUUUGAUUUCCAAUCAAAAGAUCUAUAUUAAUUAGUAUAAAUA